rnacentral:rRNA from 1 species
AUUGAACGCUGGCGGCAUGCUUUACACAUGCAAGUCGAACGGCAGCGCGGGCUUCGGCCUGGCGGCGAGUGGCGAACGGGUGAGUAAUGCAUCGGAACGUGCCCAGUAGUGGUGGAUAGCCCGGCGAAGGCCGGAUUAAUACCGCAUACGACCUGAGGGUGAAAGCGGGGGACCGAAAGGCCUCGCGCUAUUGGAGCGGCCGAUGUCGGAUUAGCUAGUUGGUGGGGUAAAGGCUUACCAAGGCGACGAUCCGUAGCUGGUCUGAGAGGACGACCAGCCACACUGGAACUGAGACACGGCCCAGACUCCUACGGGAGGCAGCAGUGGGGAAUUUUGGACAAUGGGGGCAACCCUGAUCCAGCCAUGCCGCGUGCGGGAAGAAGGCCUUCGGGUUGUAAACCGCUUUUGUUCGGGAAGAAAUCCUCUGGGCUAAUACCCCGGGGGGAUGACGGUACCGGAAGAAUAAGCACCGGCUAACUACGUG